UCACUUCCACUCUCCCUAAAAAUCAAUGGAAAAAAUAUCCUCGAGUGAGGAUUAACAGCAAUAACAAAAAAAUUUAAAAUUAAAAAAACGAAGCCAUGGACAUACCAGAAGAAGCCUCAGAGGAUUAAAAAAUAUAUAAUCUCAGAGUGGGGAAGGUGUAACUAUGACAGAAAGCAUAAAAUUCAUAAAAUGUAAUGUUGAUAAUUCGAUGACAUAAAAAUAAAAAUGUUUUUUAUGACAGUAGAGUGAAAAAAGUGAGAUGGGGGUUGUGUGAGUAUACUCAGUGCCACGGAGCUGUAUAGUUAAAAAUAUUUAAAGUGGUAAAUUUUAUUUUGUUAUGUGUAACUAACUACAGUAGUAAGUAAAUAAAUAAAACCGCUAAAAUGUUUUAAAGGUCACCCAUGUUCUAGCUAAGUGAAUUUUGCACAGCGUUCUGGUCCCAUCCUCUGGGAGACAGACACUGGUGCAGUGGUUUGAUUUCAGGCUCUGGGAGAGUCUUGCUUGGGUUUGAGUCCCAGCUACCUGACACCCCGCCUGUGAAACUUGUUGCCAGUUACUCCACCUUCUAAAGUUUCUGUUUCUGUGGCUAUGUAAUGAGCUGUUUACAGUUCUUCCAUAGGGUUAUUAAACUAUUCAGUAAGAUGAUGUAUGUGCAGUACUUAGCAUAGUAUCUGGUAUACAUAUAAUACAUAGCCAUUAUAUGUUCAUAAACAAUAUAAUUAAUAGAUGUCCAGUUCUUAUUUUGGAUUCUCAAGUAAGCACAAGCAGCACUAUAUUAACCUUGUAAAUAUGUUUUCUCAUUUUUAAACACUGCUCUUAUUACCCUUAAAAAGAACAAAUGAUUUUUUUUUGGUGGCAUUUAAUGAACAGAAUUAAUGUAUUGCAAAAAAUGGUCAAAAUGGUACAUUUUAUGUCAUAUUUCACCACAAUAUUUUGAAAAGCUUAAAAAGAAAAGGGUAUUUGUUAAGUUUAGGGUCAUCUCUAAUUAUCUUAGAGAGAACCUGGUAUGGAUUUGUUUGUGGAACUAAUCAGUGACACACCCAUACACAGACAAUGGAAAAUGUUUGCAAUCCAUACAUCAAAAGGCUAAUUUCCCUGAUAGUGUCUAUAAAUACAUGAGAAAAAGCAAACAAACCAAUAGAAAAAUAAGCAAAGGCUAUGAACAUGGUUUUCAGAAAAGGAAAUACAAAAGGCUUCUAAAAUGUGAAAACAUUUAUAGUUUGAGACUAUUGGGACAUAAAUUAUAUAGAGAAUGCAUAAAUUUAAGUAAAGAGUUGCAGUUAGUGUCACUCAGAUGCAAAGGUGGCGUUGAUCCUUCCUUGAUAGUUUAACUUUUGCUUCCCUCCCUUCGAUCCAAGGCUGAGUUUUCCCCAGCUUCGUUGACCAGAGAAGCAAGGAGUUUGCGUGUGUGGAAGCCACAACUACCUUUCAAGUUCAGGCUCCCUGCAGAUUAAGGAGUUUCUCAAAGUCCACCUUCUUGCAAGUGUGGAAUUUUGGAGGAUCAGUAGAGCUCUUAUGAGUCAAUUCUCUGUUCAUGAGUGAAAUUCUGAACCCUUGAGUCCACUACCCGUUGCCUACUGCCACUCAAUGGCUGUUUCCUAUUGACUGCCUACCACAGAGCCCUCCCAAUAAAUGAAAACAUCUGAUUAUGGGUUUGAAAGGAUGCACAGACGGACAGUGCAAGAAGUAAGAGGUCUAAGUUAGGAAAAGCCAAGAUGGAGUGAGUCACGUGGAAAGAGCAGCCAAAGGGUUCUCAUGGCUCCCAGGGAAAAGCUGCUCCUUACCUACCAGCUGGAACAAGAACCAUCCUGUGGCCUUUGCUUUAUUCUAUUUGUCAAAGCAAGUUGCAUGACUGACUCCAAAGUUAAUAUUCAAGGAAGUACACUUAUUCCUGAGUGAGGAGCACUGCAAAGUACUUAUAUCACUGUGUCAUAGGCGGAAUGCUGGCUCCUCAAAGAUGUAAACAUCCUAAUCCCCCGAAUCUGUGAAGAUGUUAUGCUACCUGGCGAAGGGGAGCUCAGGUUGCAGGUGGAAUUAAGUUUGCUCAUUUGCUCACCUUCAAGUAGGAAGGUUAUGAUUUGGAUUACCCCAGUGGAUUCCAGAUGGAGGCAGGGGACAUGAGUCAAGGAGUGCAGGCGGCCUCUAGAAGAUGGAAAAGGCCAGGAAAAGGACUCCCCUCUCGAGCCUUCAGCAAGGAAGCAACCUGGUCAACACCCUGACGUCAGUCCAGUGAGACCCAUGUUGGACUUUUAUCCCACAGCAGGGUAUUGGCAGUGAGGAGAAUAAAAAUGCCACGAGGAGACCAAAUUACUCUACCCACCGCAGAAUGAGGCCGAGACUUGGAAGGACAUUUUAUAAGAAGAUUGGAGAAAGGAGGAAGUGGAGGUGGGUGAACUCAGAGCUGUAGAACUUUUGAGGACAGAGAAAGAAACUCAAAGAAUAUUUAAGAGGAAGGCUUUCUAUAGAAUAUGCAGUGUAAGAAACACCCGGCAAAUGUUAGCUUUGCAGGAGAUUGGAUGCAUGAAUCGCUGAGGUUGGCCAUAGGGCAAGAGUAGGAUGACUCCAGCCGGAAUAGUUUCAGGUGGUAAUGAUGAGGCAAAUGGGAAGGGAGGAUGCAAAGUGGUCUUUCCAGUAGCAGGUCCUUCAGCAGGCACGCUUGCUCAGCACUCGGGAAGAAUUCUUCAGAAAGGUUGCAGGAAGAAGCGACACCUCAUGGUAGCCCAAGAAAGAGAGAAAGAGGGCGUUUACCUGCCUGCUCCCUCCCAUCUCCUUUCCCUUGGCCAAGGUUUAUUCUGCAGAGCCAACUCCCCUGAACUCCCAGGCGGGGCCACUUGGCUGCUCUGUAGCCACUCAGGAAAUUAAUGUCACACCUCAUGGCGUGUCCAUUUCAUUCAAGUCUGGAAGUGGGAUGUGGCUCGAAUGGGUGAGGCACUGACGAAAAGAAAGAACAGAAGGAGCAAUAGAAGGAAUCUGAGAAGGCUAUAAAUGUUUGUCUCUGUGAUGAAGAAAAACUUUUAUUUAAAUCUUGCUCCGCCCAGCCAGUGUGACUCAGUAGUUGAGCAUAGACCUAUGAACUAAGAGGUCACC